rnacentral:rRNA from 1 species
CCUACGGGAGGCAGCAGUGGGGAAUAUUGGGCAAUGGAGGAAACUCUGACCCAGCGACGCCGCGUGCGGGAUGAAGGCCUUCGGGUUGUAAACCGCUUUCAGUAGGGAAGAAGCGAAAGUGACGGUACCUACAAAAGAAGCACCGGCUAACUAUGUGCCAGCAGCCGCGGUAAUACAUAGGGUGCAAGCGUUGUCCGGAAUUAUUGGGCGUAAAGAGCUCGUAGGUCGUUUGUUACGUCGGAUGUGAAAACCUGAGGCUCAACCUCAGGCCUGCAUUCGAUACGGGCAAACUAGAGUUUGGUAGGGAAGACUGGAAUUCCUGGUGUAGCGGUGGAAUGCGCAGAUAUCAGGAGGAACACCAAUGGCGAAGGCAGGUCUCUGGGCCAAUACUGACACUGAGGAGCGAAAGUCUGGGGAGCGAACAGGAUUAGAUACCCUGGUAGUCCAGACCGUAAACGGUGGGCACUAGUUGUGGGAACCUUCCACGGUUUCUGCGACGCAGCUAACGCAUUAAGUGCCCCGCCUGGGGAGUACGAUCGCAAGAUUAAAACUCAAAUGAAAUUGACGG